rnacentral:rRNA from 1 species
UACGGAAGGGGCAAGCGUUGUUCGGAAUCAUUGGGCGUAAAGGGUGCGUAGGUGGCGCCGUAAGUCGGGUGUGAAAUUUCGGAGCUUAACUCCGAAACUGCAUUCGAUACUGCGGUGCUUGAGGACUGGAGAGGAGACUGGAAUUCAUGGUGUAGCAGUGAAAUGCGUAGAGAUCAUGAGGAAGACCAGUGGCGAAGGCGGGUCUCUGGACAGUUCCUGACACUGAGAAGCGAAAGCAUGGGGAGCGAACAGG